AUUUGGUUUUCUAAGUAACACUAAUUAUUUAUAGUCAGUUUUUACAAAAAAAAAAAUUGUCGUCUUAAAUUUAUUAUUUAUUACAAAUUAUGAUAAGACGAUGCAUUUUACUCCUUCUCCAUGCUCUUCAUGCACACCUUCAAUGAUCUUCUCUGCGUAGAAUCCUGGCGAACGGCUAUAAUUAUACAUCGUUGGAGAUCUCUUGUAGUUCAUUAAUCUGCAAAUCUUCUAAUAAAUGGUAGUAUUGGGACUCAACCUCAUACCUCUUAGUGUAGAACCAUUAAUGAACCCUUCCACCAAAGUUUUUACAAUUAAAAC
rnacentral:sRNA from 1 species